AUGCUUACUGUUUACUAUACUAAAGGGAGAAUGCAUGGAAAAGAGAAGAGAAAAGAAUGUAGGGAAAAUAAAAGUUGUGCUCACUCGGGACCUACCUCGAUGCCUAUGUAUCCCUUUCAAGGAAUCAGAGCAGCCGUAGUUCGGGUGAUAUGUUUUUGUUGGUUCGUAUUUUUUUUAAUGAACAAUAUUAAUUUUGCCUUCUGCCGCAACUCGACCUUUGGAGACGUACGCGUCAGCACAAAAGUGAAUUAA